rnacentral:rRNA from 1 species
GACGAACGCUGGCGGCGUGCUUAACACAUGCAAGUCGAACGGUGAAGCGCCUUCCUUUUUGGUGGGUGUGGAUGAGUGGCGAACGGGUGAGUAACACGUGAGUAACCUGCCCCCUUCUUCUGGAUAACCGCAUGAAAGUGUGGCUAAUACGGGAUAUUCUGGGUCUGUCGCAUGAUGGGUCUGGGAAAGAUAUUGUUUCGGUGGGGGAUGGGCUCGCGGCCUAUCAGCUUGUUGGUGGGGUGAUGGCCUACCAAGGCGGUGACGGGUAGCCGGCCUGAGAGGGUGGACGGGCACACUGGGACUGAGACACGGCCCAGACUCCUACGGGAGGCAGCAGUGGGGAAUAUUGCACAAUGGGCGCAAGCCUGAUGCAGCGACGCCGCGUGAGGGAUGGAGGCCUGCGGGUUGUGAACCUCUUUCGCCAGUGAAGCAGGCCUGCCUCGUUUGUGGGUGGGUUGACGGUAGCUGGAUAAGAAGCGCCGGCUAACUACGUG